UAACAUCCUGAAUGGAAACACCAAACAGAUCCUGGGAUUGUUACCGUCACUUUGCUCUGACUGCUCCCAGGCCUGAGGAAUAAUGAGGAGCCGCAGGAAACCUCAGGGCCUCGCAAGAUACGAGCUGCGCAUGUUUUGCACGUUGCAAUCAGGUUAUCCUCAAGUGACGCCAUGUUUGCUCUCUCGUCAGACCAUACCUCAGGGCGCUGGGUGUUUAUCGGCAGGACUGGAGAAGCAGAGAUCACCGGACUGGUAAUUGUUUCCUCUAAAUCUGCUGAGCUCUGAGGAACACCGAGUGCAGUUUUUCAUCAGACGGAGAAUGAGAGGGUAAAAGGACAAUACUAAGAAAAGCAAAAAUGCUUUAGUCCAUCAUGUUGGAUUUUAUCACUUCAUCUAACAACUGAGGAGCUCUCCGGCUCCACGCUGGGCCUGAAAUGGGACCCCAGUCACUGCGGCCCCUUGGAGUUUGCGUAGAGUGAGCGGCGGUGCUGAGCUCUGUCACAGGAGACAGUUUGUUUACGGAGGAGCUGAAAAACGUCGUAUGUCUCUGCAUUACAUUGUACUGAUGUGCACUGACUGAUUGUGUUGUAUUAAAACAUAUG